UGGUGGGUAGUUUGACUGGGGCGGUCUCCUCCCAAAGAGUAACGGAGGAGCACGAAGGUUGGCUAAUCCUGGUCGGACAUCAGGAGGUUAGUGCAAUGGCAUAAGCCAGCUUGACUGCGAGCGUGACGGCGCGAGCAGGUGCGAAAGCAGGUCAUAGUGAUCCGGUGGUUCUGAAUGGAAGGGCCAUCGCUCAACGGAUAAAAGGUACUCCGGGGAUAACAGGCUGAUACCGCCCAAGAGUUCAUAUCGACGGCGGUGUUUGGCACCUCGAUGUCGGCUCAUCACAUCCUGGGGCUGAAGUAGGUCCCAAGGGUAUGGCUGUUCGCCAUUUAAAGUGGUACGCGAGCUGGGUUUAGAACGUCGUGAGACAGUUCGGUCCCUAUCUGCCGUGGGCGCUGGAGAAUUGAGGGGGGCUGCUCCUAGUACGAGAGGACCGGAGUGGACGCAUCACUGGUGUUCGGGUUGUCAUGCCAAUGGCACUGCCCGGUAGCUAAAUGCGGAAGAGAUAAGUGCUGAAAG
rnacentral:rRNA from 1 species